CCAAGAGAUCAAGGGAGGCUGGGAUUGUCCUGAUGGCUGUAGGAAGGAGGAGGCUGCCAUCUGUGUCUAUGAAGACGAGUAGGAGAUGGAGAUGCCAGCCUCACUGCUUUUAUCCUUGUCACCUCUCAGCCCUAGUCUCUCUUUCUCCAUCUCCUCAUCACAAACCCAGGCUCCUCAGCAGCCCGAGAUUUAGAGUUGGUCCAGGACUAACCACUGCCCAGCGCCCCUCUCCUCUUCAGCCCUAAGCCCCCUCCUCGAUGUCCCCUUUCCCUCCUCCGCGGCGGAGGGGUCACCUCGAAGGCUAGCCAAGAAUAGGGGGACAGCACAUCGUAGAAGAGCUCCAGCUUCCUCGGCAGGCUCAGCAUGGUGGUGGAUCCGGGCAAACGAUGAGGUCUCCCAGAGACCGCCGGCCACGCUCUUUUUCUUUUUUGGGGGGAGGGGGGAGGCGGGCCGCGGUGCCCUUUACCCCUUCUUCCACCCAAUAGGCUCCCGGUGGGAUCCGCCCCUGGAGCUGGGCGACCUGGUUGGGAGAAGCAGCGCACGAGCCCAGCGACUGAAGCCCGGGAGGAGGAGCCGGGCCAGCCCUUCCCUGGGCUCCUGCUGCCUCCGUGCGGCCGUCCCCGGGGCCCGCUGCUGGGAGUUUACCAGCCGGCCAGGAGUGCGGUACCUGAGACCGAGUCUCUUCGUAACAGCGAUGCCAUCUUUGCGUGACGUCAUUUAUCCGGUGGAUCGCGUGGUGUCCCUAUUACAGCGAUUAUCCCUGCUUAUCCCUGGAGCCGAAUAAAUGUCACCACGA